AGGCAGAGCUGUGGUCAAUAAGAUGAUUCUGUGGGGUCUUCUCCUCUGCCUGGAGACAGCCCCCCUGGGUGCUGUGUCUGCUCUGACCCUGCAGGAGUCUGGCCCAGGCCUGGUGAAGCCCUCCCAGACCCUCUCCCUCACCUGCACUGUCUCUGGGGGCUCUGUCACCAGCAGUUACUAUUGGCAUUGGAUCCGCCAGCGCCCUGGGAAAGGGUUGGAAUGGAUGGGGUACUGGUCAGGUGGUACCAGCUACAACCCAGCAUUCCAGGGGCGCAUCUCCAUCACUGCUGACACCUCCAAGAAUCAGUUCUUCCUGAAGCUGAGCUCAGUGACCCCCGAGGACACAGCCAUGUAUUACUGUGCCAGAGACACAGUGAGGGGAAGUCAGGGCGAGCCCAGACACAAACCUCCCUGCUGGGAGAGUGUGGACUGCAGGAGACCACGGCAAGACAUUUUCUCUCUGCAUUACGAGUACAUAGAGGUUUAUCCCUCCAAUGAGCCAAAAGUCAGUCUCCUGGAAUCCUCAGGUCUACAGAUGGACUAA